rnacentral:lncRNA from 1 species
CUCUUUUGAUACUUUGGGAUAGAAUUUGUAUUAACAGAAGUUUUGAAGUCAUUCAGAAUGCCACAUGACCAACGUGGGGUCACCAAUUGGAACAGGGAAGAGAUGUGCACAAUGGCCCUCUCUCCAGCUUGUGUGAGCCGGCUCCAACACACAUCCUGUGGAGCGAGAGUUUGGUUGCUGGGAGGACCAGCUCACUGACAGAUUAAAGUUACCAAGUUGAAGUGAUGAGCUUGAAUCCUUCUGCAGUCACACGUUUGGCCUAGCAGAGGUUGAAAUUUUUAAAAAAUGAAAUAGAACCACAAAGAAAAUAUCAGAACACAUUGCACUUAGUAAAGAUGGAGUCUCGCUAUGUUGCCCAGGCUGGACUUGAACUCCUGUACUCAAGCCAUCCUCCCGCCCCUGCCUCUUGAAGUGCUGGGAUUACAGAACAAGGGGGAGUCUCCCUGCACAAGCUCUCUCUCUUUGCCUGCUGUCAUCCACCUAAGAUGUAACUUGCUCCUCCUUGCCUUCCACCAUGAUUGUGAGGCUUCCCCAGCCACGUGGAACUGUUCAAAUUUCCAUCUGGUGUCAUUUUUCUUCUACCUGAAGAAUUUUCUUGAAUAUUCCUUAUAGCAUAGGUCUGCUGGCAAUAAAUUAUCAGUUUUGGCUUGUCUGAAAAUUUUUUGUUUUGCUUUAAUUUUUUAAACCACUUUUUUGAGAUAUAAUUGAUAUACAAUAAACUGCACAAAUUUAAAGUGUAUAAUUUAACAAGGUUUGAUGUUUGUGUACACCUAUGAAACAAUUACCACAAUCAAAAUAAUGAAUAUAUCCAUAACUCCCCAAAGUUUCUUCAUUUCUCUUUGUAAUCCCUCUUUCCACUUCUCCAUGUUACCGCUUCCUUGGGCAAGAACUGAUCUACUAAUCUAUGAUCACAGAUUAGUUUUCACUUUUCCUAGAAUUUUAUGUAAAUAGAAUCAUAUAGUGUGCACUCAUUUUUGUCUGGCUUUUUUUUUUUUUUUUUUUUUUUGAGACCGGAUCUUGCUCUUUUACCCAGGCUGUGCAGUGGCACCAUCUUGGCUCAUUGCAAUCUCCACCUCCUAGCCUUAAGGGAUCCUCCUGCCUCAGCCCCCUAAGUACCUGGGAUUACAGGCACAAGCCACCACACCUGGCUAAUUUUUGUAUUUUUUUGUAGAGAUGGGGUUUCACUAUCUCUACACCAUGUUGCCCAAGCUGGUCUUGUACUCCUCAGCUCAAGUGAUCCACUCACCUUGGCCUUCUGAAGUAUUAGGAUGACAGACAAGCCACCAUGCCCAGCUGUCUGGCUUCUUUCACUUAGAAUAAUUACUUUGAGUUUCAUUUAUUUUGCAUGUAUCAAUAUAUCAUAUGACAUAAUUUGUAUGUUUAUUCAUCUGUUAAUGGACAUAUGGGUCAUUUCCAGGUUUUGGCUAUUACAAAUAAAACUUCUGUGAACCUUUGUGUGCAUGCUUUUAUUUAGAAAUAUGCGUUAAUUUCUCUUGGUUUUUGCCUAAUUUUUUAAAGAUAUUUUUGACCAGUGUAGAAUUCUAGAAUUGCGAGCCUUUUUCUUUCCAUAUCUUUGUGAUGUCAUCUGGUUUGCAAGUCUGAGGCAAGUCUGGUUUGCAAGUCUGCUGUAAUUCUUACUUUUAUUCCUUUAUGUAUAAUGCAUCUUUUUUCCUCUGGCUGAUUUAAAUUUUUUUAUCUUUUUCAUUAAAUUUCAGCAAUUUGAUUAUGAUGUGCCUUGUGUGGUUUUUCUUCAUGUUUGGGAUUUAUUGAGCGUUUUGGAUCUGUAGGUUUAUCAUUUUUAUCACAUUUGGAAAUUUUUUGACUAUUCUUCAAAUAUUUUU